UCAUGAGUCAGCGGCGGCGGCUGAAGACGACGCCGCCGCCUACUCCGGUGAACUUCUCCAUUACUCCUCUUUCACCUUUGCAUCCUACAACACCUCCAAAGGAAGAAUCCAGCUCCUCAACCUCCUUCCGCUCUCGAACUCAAAGAUCUCUUACCCCUUCUCUUCUAGACUUGGCAGCCCUUGACGAUGGGGACUGGCACACCCUUGGCCUCUCGAGAUCGGAGCUAUCACUUCUCCACACUCUCCCCACCGGUCAGACAUUUCGUUGGCGUCGAACCGGACCCUCCCAGUUCACCGGUGUCGUUGGUCCCUACCUCCUGUCUCUCAAGCACGCCGAUGGAGAUGAUGAUCCUUCUGGUCGCAUCCACUUCUUUCUCCACAAUUCGUCAGACGCUGCUUCCACGCGGGCUGCGCUGAGUGACUAUCUUAACGUCGAGAUCUCCCUCACCGCUCUGUGGCGAGGUUUUUCUGCGGCGGAUCCGCGGUUUGAUGAGAUAGCUCGACGAUUCGAUGGCGGGGCCCGUGUUCUGCGACAGGAUCCGGUGGAGUGCGUUUUUCAGUUCCUCUGCUCUUCGAACAAUAACAUUGCGAGGAUUGAGAAGAUGGUCGGGGUUCUGUCUUCGUUUGGCGAGCAUUUAGGGACGGUUGGUGGGUUUCAUUUCCAUGAGUUUCCCACACUUGAGAGGCUUUCUGCUGUCACCGAGCAACAGCUCAGAGAAGCUGGAUUUGGUUAUAGAGCAAAGUAUAUUGUUGGUGCGGUCAAAGCUUUACAAGCAAAGCCUGGCGGGGGUGUGGAAUGGCUUGCUUCUCUCCGCAGCUUGGAUCUACAUGAUGUGUUAGAUGCUCUUUGUUCCCUGCCUGGAGUUGGACCAAAAGUUGCUGCCUGUAUUGCUCUGUUUUCUCUUGAUCAGCAUCAUGCAAUUCCAGUUGAUACUCAUGUGUGGCAGAUCGCUACACGCUACUUCAUACCAGAGCUUUCUGGCACCCAACUGACUCCAAAGCUUUGCGCUCGUGUGGCGGAUAUAUUCAUUGCAAGGUUUGGAAAAUAUGCUGGUUGGGCGCAGAAUGUAUUGUUCAUUGGUGAUUUACCUUCUCAGAAGGCACUUCUACCAGCACAGUUGUUGGCUAAUAAAAAAUCAAAAUCUGCUAAGAGGAAGCGUAGCAACAGAAAAUUUAAACUUGAGUAACUCGAAAUUAUGCUUGAAAGCUUCACUUAGCCAACUCCUGAAGCCAAAUUUUCCUUUUCUGAAGUAGAUCAAUAUUCUUGAGAGCUGAAGGGGUACUUAAAUAAGCAUCUGCGGCUUUCCAAUGCAGCUUCUCAAUUAUUUAAUUUUUCUAUUUUCCAGGAAUGCUCAACUUGCUCCACAACAUAGUUGCAAAACUACUCCUGACAUCAACUCACCAAAGAAGAUCAACUUGCUCCAUAGCCGAGCUGAUUUAUAGAAGGGUUACCCGAUAAUUAGUUUUUUGAAAGGCAUUUUUAUAAGGAGAAAUCUGCAAUGCAAGACAUUAUCAAGAUAUUAAUUAUAAUGCCAUGCCAGAAGAAGGCAGAGAGUUAGAUUGAGGAAUUCUUGAUAUUUGUGUGUAAUGAGUACUUGAUUUGUAACAGUAAGUUAGUCUCUCUAUGAAUGGAAGUAUUAUUGUUAAAUAGAGGAUGUCCCCAUAUAUUAAAAGACCAAUUUU